GAUCUCCACCUGCAUCAUUGUCAUACUUUCCAGGCUCUUGUGAACAAGGCCAUUAAUGCAGAGACAUCUCAGCUCACUUAUGAGGAGUCUCGUAAGCACAACCGUGAUCUGGGUUCUUCCUCCCGCUCUGGCUCUCAGAAGCGACAGAUUUGGAUUCCGAACUCAGCUCUUCCACCUGGAUAUGCACCGAGGCCAUCUAAUGUGGCGCCUCACCCAGCUCAGCAACGUGCUCCACCCAGGCCUAUUAGUGGACCACUUGCCAAUUUAGGACCACAUCCUACCUCAGGAACUUGCUUCAUGUGCGGAGAACCAGGACAAUAUGCACGUGACUGCCCUCAGUCCAAUUAUACUCCACCCCAGUCUGAGAGGUCUGUUGGCCGUGAAAAGCCAUCAGGCAAGAUGAUCAGUUCCAAGCCAGCCUCCAUUGAACGAGCAUGUGUGCACCAUGUCUCAGCUACAUAA
rnacentral:rRNA from 1 species